GCCAGGUGUGGUGGUGCACACCUGUAAUCCCAGCUACUCAGGAGGCUGAAGCAGGAGGAUUGCAAGUUGGAGGCCAGUCUGGGCAACUUAGCAAGACCCUGUCU
rnacentral:sRNA from 1 species